UGGGGAAUAUUGCACAAUGGGGGAAACCCUGAUGCAGCGACGCCGCGUGAACGAAGAAGGUAUUCGUAUCGUAAAGUUCUGUCCUAUGGGAAGAUAAUGACAGUACCAUAGAAGAAAGCUCCGGCUACAUACGUGCCAGCAGCCGCGGUAAUACGUAUGGAGCGAGCGUUGUCUGGAAUUAUUGGGUGUAAAGGGUACGCAGGCGGUUUAAUAAGUCGAAUGUUAAAGAUCGGGGCUCAACCCCGCAAAGCAUUGGAAACUGAUAAACUUGAGUAGUGGAGAGGAAAGUGGAAUUCCUAGUGUAGUGGUGAAAUACGUAGAUAUUAGGACGCAUACCAGUAGCGAAGGCGACUUUCUGGACACAAACUGACGCUGAGGUACGAAAGCGUGGGGAGCAAACAGG
rnacentral:rRNA from 1 species